UACAGAGGGUGCGAGCGUUAAUCGGAAUUACUGGGCGUAAAGCGUGCGUAGACGGCUAUCUAAGUCGGGUGUGAAAGCCCCGGGCUCAACCUGGGAAUUGCAUUCGAGACUGAAUAGCUAGGGUACGGUAGAGGGAAGCGGAAAUUUCCGGUGUAGCGGUGAAAUGCGCAGAUAAUCAGGAGGAACACCGGUGGCGAAGGCGGAUCUCUGGGGCCAUUACUGACGCUGAGGAGCGAAAGCGUGGGGGAGCGAACAGGA
rnacentral:rRNA from 1 species